UGCACGCUGGCGGCGUGCCUAAUACAUGCAAGUCGAGCGAACAGACGAGGAGCUUGCUCCUCUGACGUUAGCGGCGGACGGGUGAGUAACACGUGGAUAACCUACCUAUAAGACUGGGAUAACUUCGGGAAACCGGAGCUAAUACCGGAUAAUAUAUUGAACCGCAUGGUUCAAUAGUGAAAGACGGUUUUGCUGUCACUUAUAGAUGGAUCCGCGCCGCAUUAGCUAGUUGGUAAGGUAACGGCUUACCAAGGCAACGAUGCGUAGCCGACCUGAGAGGGUGAUCGGCCACACUGGAACUGAGACACGGUCCAGACUCCUACGGGAGGCAGCAGUAGGGAAUCUUCCGCAAUGGGCGAAAGCCUGACGGAGCAACGCCGCGUGAGUGAUGAAGGUCUUCGGAUCGUAAAACUCUGUUAUUAGGGAAGAACAAAUGUGUAAGUAACUAUGCACGUCUUGACGGUACCUAAUCAGAAAGCCACGGCUAACUACGUG
rnacentral:rRNA from 1 species